UACGGGGGGAGCAAGCGUUGUUCGGAUUUACUGGGCGUAAAGGGCGCGUAGGCGGUCAGCACAAGUCAGUUGUGAAAUCUCCGGGCUUAACUCGGAAAGGUCAACUGAUACUGUGCGACUAGAGUGCAGAAGGGGCAACUGGAAUUCUCGGUGUAGCGGUGAAAUGCGUAGAUAUCGAGAGGAACACCUGCGGCGAAGGCGGGUUGCUGGGCUGACACUGACGCUGAUGUGCGAAAGCUAGGGGAGCAAACGGG
rnacentral:rRNA from 1 species